rnacentral:rRNA from 1 species
UACGUAGGGGGCAAGCGUUGUCCGGAUUUAUUGGGCGUAAAGAGCGUGUAGGCGGCUUUGCAAGUCCGUUGUGAAAACUCGAGGCUCAACCUCGAGACGCCGGUGGAAACUGCAAAGCUAGAGUCCGGAAGAGGAGAGUGGAAUUCCGAGUGUAGAGGUGAAAUUCGUAGAUAUUCGGAGGAACACCAGUGGCGAAGGCGGCUCACUGGCUCGGUACUGACGCUGAGGUGCGAAAGCGUGGGGAGCAAACAGG